rnacentral:rRNA from 1 species
GACGAACGCUGGCGGCGUGCCUAAUACAUGCAAGUCGAGCGAAGCGGCGGAUGGGGGAGUAACGCGUGGUUAACCUGCCCUUAAGUCUGGGAUACCAUCUGGAAACAGAUGCUGAUACCGGAUACUAAAGGAUGGACCUGCGAUGCAUUAGCUCGUUGGUAAGGUAACGGCUUACCAAGGCGAUGAUGCCUAGCCGGGUUGAGAGACUGAUCGGCCACACUGGGACUGAGACACGGCCCAAACUCCUACGGGAGGCAGCAGUAGGGAAUAUUCCACAAUGGGCGAAAGUCUGAUGGAGCAACGCCGCGUGAGUGAAGAAGGUUUUCGGAUCGUAAAGCUCUUUUGUUGGUGAAGCGGUAAUCAACCAGAAAGUCACGGCUAACUCCGUGCCAGCAGCCGCGGUAAUAC